CGGCACCCCACAUCGUUUCACUUCAACCCGUCAGUCCCCUCACUCCGUCAGUCUCCCCUCCGGCCUCACGCCGCGCUCACGACGCUGCCUCCAGUUCCAGCCUUCCAGGCUCGCACUCGCACGGCCUGGCCCGCCCACGCUCCGACCCUUCUCGGCGACAAGACACGUCGUACCGGCACGUCCCCCCGCCCUGUCUUCUGCCCACCUGGCACCAGCCACCAGCGGGUCCACGCUUCCAAGGGUUUCAAACUAUCGGCGGCGCGAGCAAUGGCGGCGGGGGCCCGGGAGCACUGGUAGUUUCUCGUAUCGCGGCGGCUUGUUGGCUUGAUGCCACCUCGCCAUCGCAGAUUAUGGGGAUCAACGGCGAGGAGUGGGAGGGGACGGUAGUGGACGGCGGCGUUCGGAGGCGGAAGGGCGGUGCCGAGGGUGCCUGCUUGGGCGCAUCGUCCUCCUUUGCGGAGGGGACGGGGGAGUUCGUGCUGAGGUCCAUGGACGCCAGGUUCUCCGGAUCGGUCGACGACGACGAGUUAUUUGUUUCGUCGCGGCAGCCAGUAUUGGGGCAUAGUAAAUCAACAGCUGCUACUUCUGGUACCUUUAAAGGGCAAGAAAACGUUUUUGUAAGGUCAUACUCUGAUAGGUUGCUGAAGUGUGACCUCACUUUGGAUAUGCUAUCAGAAAAUGAGAAGAUAAAGAUAACCGAAAGGCUGGUAAAGAUCCAGAAUGAUGGUACAGUGGAGGUAGAUGUGACGCGCAGUGCUCUUGUUGCCUCAGAACUCUCUGAGAUUGAUGCUUUUGGUUAUGUACCACGUGAUGUUGAAGAAGUUACACCUGGAAUCACCAAGUCAGUCCCAAAGCUGAAGAUUGCUAUACUUGUAGUUGGAACCCGAGGGGAUGUACAGCCUUUUAUAGCAUUAGCUAAACGACUGCAGGAAUUCGGUCAUUAUGUUAGACUGGCAACUCAUGUCAAUUUCCGCACUUUUGUGAAGUCAGCUGGCAUUGAUUUUUACCCAUUGGGUGGUGAUCCUCGGGUUAUGGCUCAAUAUAUGACAAAAAACAAAGGGUUUUUCCUGGCUGCACCAACAGAGAUUGCUGUUCAAAGAAAGCAGCUUAAGGAAAUCAUCUUCUCACUUCUACCUGCAUGCACAGAACCUGAUUUGGAUACAGGAGCUCCUUUCAGAGCUCAGGCAAUAAUUGCGAAUCCUCCUGCUUAUGGUCAUCUGCAUAUCGCAGAAGCACUUGGAGCACCUCUGCAUAUCUUCUUCACUUUUCCAUGGACGCCAACUAAUGAAUUCCCACAUCCAUUGGCUCGCAUGCCUCAAAGUGCAACUUAUAGGCUAUCAUAUCUUAUUCUGGAUUUAAUAGUUUGGUGGGGCUCCAGGGGAUUCAUAAAUGAUUUCCGGAAGAAAUUAAAUUUGCCUCCUAUUGCUUACUUCAGCACAUACCAUGGAUCUAUAUCACACUUACCUACUGGAUACAUGUGGAGCCCUCAACUUAUGCCAAAGCCAAAAGAUUGGGGUCCUCUAGUGGAUGUUGUGGGAUAUUGCUUCUUAAAUCUUGGAACAAAGUAUCAACCACCACCAGAACUAUCACAGUGGCUUCAACAGGGGCCCAAGCCAAUAUACAUUGGUUUUGGUAGCAUGCCUCUUGAUGAUGAGAAGAAAGUCACUGCUAUCAUUUUGGAUGCACUUAGAGAAACCGGACAGAGGGGAAUCAUUAGCCGUGGUUGGGGAGCUCUUGGAAGUUUUUCAGAAGUUCCAGUUGAUGUCUUCAUCUUGGAGGAUUGCCCUCACGAUUGGCUUUUCCCUCGGUGUGCUGCAGUGAUGACAGUAUCUUCUGUGAUUGGUGGUGAGAUUAUGAGAAUACUUGCUUUAUUUCCCAGGUGCAUCAUGGUGGAGCAGGUACUACAGCAGCAGGGCUGAUAGCUGGGUGUCCUACUACCGUAGUGCCAUUUUUUGGAGACCAGUUCUUCUGGGGCGAGAGAGCUCAUGCACGAGGAGUGGGCCCUGCACCUAUACCUAUUGCAGAACUUACUGUAGAGGCACUAUCAAAUGCAAUAAGAUUCAUGCUUGAUCCAGAGGUAAAAUCACGAACAAUGGAACUGGCGAUAGCAAUAGGCAAUGAGGAUGGUGUGGCAGCAGCUGUAGAUGCAUUUCAUCGUCACCUGCCGUCAGAAUUGCCACUGUCGCCACCCGCACAUGUGGAGGAAGAACGCAUAGACUUCUUGCAAUGGUUUUCUCGAGCCCUGGAGAAGUGUUGUUUCCCAUUCAAUAUGUAGGUAUGGUGUUCCAUGUAGGUAUAGGUAUGAUUUAUUCUUUUAUGGGUUGGAAAGGUCGAUCACACCAAUUUUCUAAAUUUGAAAUAAAUGCUGGUACAAGCCAUUGGUAGUUGGUUCGUUCUCAUCGUGUUGUGGAUGCAAUAAAAAGGAUUGACGCCAUUGUAAAUGUUUGGGCAGCUAAAAUAUGUGUAUGUUCCAUUUUUGUGUACAUGGUCAUCAGCUGAUGCUAUAAAUUACUAUCAUUCAAUUUUAA